ensembl:lncRNA
GGGUGUAGGGAUGUAGGGACUGGGAUGUAGGGAUGUAGGGGUGUAGGGGUGUAGGGACUGGGAUGGGGGGAUGUAGGGGUAUAGGGACUGGGAUGUAGGGGUGUAGGGGUGUAGGGAUGUAGGGAUGUAGGGGUGUAGGGAUGUAGGGAUGUAGGGGUGUAGGGACUGGGAUGUAGGGGUGUAGGGGUGUAGGGAUGUAGGGACUGGGAUGUAGGGGUGUAGGGGUGUAGGGACUGGGAUGUAGGGAUGUAGGGGUGUAGGGACUGGGAUGUAGGGAUGUAGGGGUGUAGGGAUGUAGGGAUGUAGGGACUGGGAUGUAGGGGUGUAGGGACUGGGAUGUAGGGAUGUAGGGGUGUAGGGAUGUAGGGAUGUAGGGGUGUAGGGAUGUAGAGAUGUAGGGAUGUAGGGAUGUAGGGAUGUAGGGGUGUAGGGGUGUAGGGAUGUAGGGAUGUAGGGGUGUAGGGGUGUAGGGAUGUAGGGAUGUAGGGGUGUAGGGGUGUAGGGGUGUAGGGAUGUAGGGAUGCAGGGAUGUAGGGAUGUAGGGGUGUAGGGAUGUAGGGAUGUAGGGAUGUAGGGGUGUAGGGAUGUAGGGAUAUAGGGACUGGGGUGUAGAGGGAUGUAGGGGUGUAGGGAUGUAGGGAUGUAGGGAUGUAGGGGUGUAGGGAUGUAGGGAUGUAGGGGUGUAGGGAUGUAGGGAUGUAGAGAUGUAGGGAUGUAGGGGUGUAGGGGUGUAGGGAUGUAGGGGUGUAGGGGUGUAGGGAUGUAGGGGUGUAGGGAU